rnacentral:rRNA from 1 species
CAGUAGCCGCGGGAAUACGUAGGGUGCAAGCGUUAAUCGGAAUUACUGGGCGUAAAGCGUGCGCAGGCGGUUAUAUAAGACAGAUGUGAAAUCCCCGGGCUCAACCUGGGAACUGCAUUUGUGACUGUAUAGCUAGAGUACGGCAGAGGGGGAUGGAAUUCAGCGUGUAGCAGUGAAAUGCGUAGAUAUGCGGAGGAACACCGAUGGCGAAGGCAAUCCCCUGGGCCUGUACUGACGCUCAUGCACGAAAGCGUGGGGAGCAAACAGGAUUAGAUACCCCUGUAGUCCCUGUCUCUUAUAC